AGUGAACGCUGGCGGUAGGCCUAACACAUGCAAGUCGAACGGCAGCACAGUAAUAGCUUGCUCUUACGGGUGGCGAGUGGCGGACGGGUGAGGAAUACAUCGGAAUCUACUUUUUCGUGGGGGAUCACGUAGCGAAACUUACGCUAAUACCGCAUACGACCUACGGGUGAAAGCAGGGGAUCUUCGGAACUUGCGCGAUUGAAUGAGCCGAUGUCGGAUUAGCUAGUUGGCGGGGUAAAGGCCCACCAAGGCGACGAUCCGUAGCUGGUCUGAGAGGAGGAUCAGGCACACGGGAACUGAGGCACGGUCCAGACGCCUACGGGAGGCAGCAGUGGGGAAUAUUGGACAAUGGGCGCAAGCCUGAUCCAGCCAUACCGCGUGGGUGAAGAAGGCCUUCGGGUUGUAAAGCCCUUUUGUUGGGAGAGAAAAGCAGCAGGUUAAUACCCCGCUGUUCUGACGGUACCCAAAGAAUAAGCACCGGCUAACUUCGUG
rnacentral:rRNA from 1 species